UACGUAGGGUGCGAGCGUUGUCCGGAAUUAUUGGGCGUAAAGAGCUUGUAGGCGGUUUGUCGCGUCUGCCGUGAAAAUCCGGGGCUCAACCCCGGACUUGCGGUGGGUACGGGCAGGCUAGAGUUCGGCAGGGGAGACUGGAAUUCCUGGUGUAGCGGUGAAAUGCGCAGAUAUCAGGAGGAACACCGGUGGCGAAGGCGGGUCUCUGGGCCGAUACUGACGCUGAGGAGCGAAAGCGUGGGGAGCGAACAGG
rnacentral:rRNA from 1 species